GAUGUGGUCAUGAGAAAUUAAGACGUUUGGCUAACAUUUCAUCUUUCUAUUUUUAACUAAUAAAAGUCUUUUCCUCCUUCAUUUCUUCUAUAUCUUUUUCUCCUCCUCUUGGAAUUGUUUCAUUGAUCAGAAAAAAGGUGUCUGUCAACUUGUAAUAGAAAAUGGCGUACGAGGAAAACUUUCAGCAAAUGUUUGAACCGAAAUAUGAUUGUCUUUUGUUUGACAUAGAUGAUACUCUUUAACCUUUCAGUUCUGGUCUCUCUGCGCUAGUUACAAACAACAUUCAAGAGUAUAUGAUUCAGAAACUUGGUAUUGAAGAAGAUAAAGUUCAAGAACUGUGCCUUGAGCUUUACAAAAUCUAUGGAACAACUAUGGCUGGUCUCAAGGCUGUGGGUUAUGACUUUGAUUACGACGAUUUCCAUCGUUUUGUUCAUGGGAGAUUGCCAUACACAACACUGAAGCCUGACCCUAUUUUAAGGAACAUUAUUCUUAGCUUGCCUUUUCGGAAAGUUGUUUUCACGAAUGCAGACAAGGCCCACGCAGCCAUGAUUAUAGCCAGGCUAGGUCUAGAAGGCUGCUUUGAGAAGAUCAUAUCUUUCGAGACUCUGAACCCAAACACCAAAACUGAAUCUCUUGUUGCUGCUACUGGAACCAGAGCAAUCUUCGACAUUUGCAGUUACAUUGCAAACCCUGACCCGGCCAUCCAACUCCCAAAGACUCCGGUUAUAGGCAAACCAUUUGAAGUAGCAUUUGAACAUGUUUUCAAGAUGACCAACAUCAAUCCUCAUAAGACAUUGUUCUUCGAUGACAGCAUCCGUAACAUACAAACCGGGAAACGUGUGGGUCUCCACACCGUAUGGGUUGGGACUUCACAGAAAGAUGAAGGAGUAGAUAUAGCAUUGGAGCAUAUUCACAACAUACGUGAAGCUCUUCCUGAACUAUGGGAAGCAGUUGACGACAAAGCCGAGGAGAUUAGAUCCAGGCAAAAGGUCGCCAUUGAAACCAUUGCUUAAACCAAACAAUUUCAAAGCUCAUAUCAUAAGUAACACAAAAGACAUAGCACGAAUACUACUUUAUCACUACUCGCUCUUGGAGGAGAAAAUAAUAAGUGUAAUCUAAAGCUUUUUUUAUUGAGAGAAACAGGGAAGGUAAUGAAACAAGUUGAGUUUAUUUAACUAAUAAUAUAUUAAAAAUAAGUGCAUACAUC